CGACGUCUGAGCCGGCAUGUCAUUCGUUUUAUUGUCUCUCAUCAUUGUAUGAGGUAGGCAUUAGCGUGAAGGAUCUUGCCCAAGGACCCACACUGGAUGGUGUUAUGUGCUCAUUUUUGCCCCAAGCGGGAUUCGAACCACCGUCUCCCGUAUGCCAAACCGAUGCCUUACCAACUGAGCUAUCCAGCUAUUUGUAUAUAUAUAUAUAUAUUUGUAUAUAUAUAUAUAUAUCUAUUUGUAUAUAUAUAUAUAUAUCCCCACACACACACACACAUGCAUAGCCAACUCACCUCCAAAAUGGUUGAAGUACCAGAGUGGAAGUUGUUUUCACAGGGAACAGGAAUGAACAGAUUGAUUUUUUUUUUACUGUGGUUCACAAUUUUCUCUGUGGCCAUGAAAUGGGACAGAAGUGAAAAUCAAUUCCAGGACGAGGUCGAAUUUUGUGUUGCUGUCCAAAAACAGAGUUGGGAAUUUGAAUAGUGUCAGUCUCUGGGUUGGAAGGAAUCAAUUUCCUGCUGAGCUCGCUCCACAUGUUCAUGGUGGUUAUGCCAGUAAACACUAUUCCGCGUUUGUGAAUGUGUGGGUGUGUGCAUGAGCAUUUGUUUCCUUGUGCCCAGACAGAUCCUUUCAUAUACAAACUCCAAAGAAGACACACUCACACACAGCUUGGUUGCUGACCGACUUAUCAUUUUAGUACUGCUGAUUGUUAUUGCAAUUUAAAAGCUGGCCUCUCAUAUUCGUGGUCACUCCUGGCAUCCCCUAACAAGCUGGCAAUCAUUCAGCUCGCCGCCUAAUGCAGAGUAUGUCUUAACGGCAACUUAAAACAAAAGUAACUCUGAAAGGAAACAUAUACUGUGUUCUUCUGUGUAAUAACGUGUUCGGUAAUAUUAUCUGUGUCAAUUUUUUUCAGGAAAGUACACAUAAGUUGAAAGAUAAAAAGAUAAUUAAGUUGAUAAUAUAUUGAAUUUUAAUGUGGAGGCUGUACCAGCUUUCAUGACAUGCUUCGAAAUGAUGGUGCAACUUAAAGUGAAUAAUACUGACUAAUGACUAACCAUGAGGCCUUCACAUUUUUGUCUGUAAAAAUUUUCAGCAUUUUAAAACUGAACCAACUACUGAAUACACUAUGCACACGAGCAAGAGGAUGGCACGGUGGUCGAUUGGUUAGCAUGUCUACCUCACAUUGCAGAAGAUUCCGGGCUCAGACCUCCCUGUGUGGAGUUUGCAUAUUCUUCCCGUGCCUGCGUGGGUUUUCUCCGGGUACUCCGGUUUCCUCCCACAUUCCAAAAACAUGCAGGGCAGGCUGAAUGAACACUCUAAAUUGUCCCUAGGUGUGUUUGGAAGUCAAUGGUUGUUCGUCGAUGUGUGCCCUGCGAUUGGCUGCCAACCGGUUCAGGGUGUACCUGCCUGCUGCCCAAAGACAGCUGGGAUAGGCUCCAGCAUGACCCAUGACCCCUGUGAGGAUAAAGCGGAUCGGAAAAUGGAUGGAUGGAUGCAACCUUUGCAGUGAUCCCUCGCUAUUUCGCGAUUCAUUUAUCGCGGAUUCAGUGCGUCGUGGAUUUUUUUUCAAACAUAUUCCUAAAAAAUAAAAAUAAAAAAUAAAAAUUAAGUCUGCAAAAAGUCCGCAAACGGUCCGGGACAAGCAGCGAAAGGCAGCAAAACAACAGCGACUCACAUAGAGCAGCAUAUACAGUA